AUGGUUCCCUGCUGUUUCCUUGUGGCCGUGCUGGCCCCUCUGGUGGUAGCCCUGGAACAGUCUCCAGACAUGGUGAUAAAGGAAGGCCAGUCCGUGAAUCUGGAAUGUUCCCAGAAGAAAUCCUCCAACACAGCUAUGUACUGGUUCAUGCGGCCUUCAGAGAAGAAUUCCAGUCUGACCCAGUUGGUUUAUGCCUAUGAAGGUGCUAACGCAGCAGUGGAGAAGGGAUUUGAGAGCCAUUUCAAGAGCAGCGACAUCAAAGGAGACAGUAUCACCCUCACAAUAGAACGUGCCUUUCUCAAUGACUCUGGCACAUACUACUGUGCAGAGAGUCAACACAGUGUUAGCCCUAGUGAGGCACAUCUGGAGUGCAGUGUCCUGUUCUGGGCUCUUCAGUACAAGACAGACAUGGAGCUCCUGGAGAAUGUCCAGGAGAGCAGAAGAAAGGUGAUGAAGAGAGUGGAGCACCUCUUUGGUGAACAAAGGCUGAGGGGUCUUGGCCUGUUCAGCCUUGAGAAGAAACAACUAAGUGGCCACUGA